rnacentral:lncRNA from 1 species
CUUACUUCUUCCCCAAAUGUCAAUCAAUGUGAAACCACUACAAUAAAAGUGAUUAUUUUUCAAGUGUUUAAAUGUCUUUUCAGUUUACAGCAUGGAUGUAAAACCCACAGAUGACAAGACAUCAGUGAGAGUGUCAUUUGUUCCACCAGGACAAAAGGAAAACAUUUCUAAUGUGUGCAAGAAAGUCUAAGCCAGCUGUUCUUUCUCCAAGAAGCAAAACCAGAGAGCCCAGAGGUGUCUGUAAUGAGGAUGUAUUUGGAUUUAGCCAGAGAAGAAUGGCGGAACUGCCUUCUGCUGAUGGUCUGUGGCAUUGUGUCAAUACUUUGGAUGCCCCAAAAGAGACAAUAAAUAUCAUGGCACCAGCAAGUUCAAUGGAGUGGAUGCUCUGUCCACAGGAAUCCUCAUGCCCCACCAGCACCCUCAGUUGCCUAGCCAUCAUGCCAAAGUUAAGGAAAUCAGGGAGGAAAUGCUCCAGAUGCCAUGAGCAGCAGCCAAAAAUCUCAUAGCUGAGCAGCUGAGUGAGCCUCCCCAUUUCAGAUGGACAGGGACAUAUCUAUCUGCAGCCCAGUGCCCCAAAGCAAAUGGAAUCUUGCAAGGACACAUGAUGUGCUGCUGUGCUGCAGACCCAGCAUGAUUCUUUCCAGGUGAUUCAAGACUAGUAACACUUUCAACUUUGUCCUGAGGGAGAGAAAGAGUUGGUAGACAGGCAGACUAAUGCCAAAUUGUUUUGCAAUUUUAUUUUCC